AUUUAAAUGAAAUCAUAAAUUAGUUUGUUUUAAUGACCUUCAGUCUAGAUAAACGUGACCCUAGUCGUUCUCUCCAAAAAUAACCUACCUAAUUAUCUCAUUUUUUCUUCAUAUGCUGCCUAAAAUCCUGGAUACCUUUUGUCAACGGAACACCACUACCUCCACAAGGCCUCCAUCGCUCUGACUCAUCACUAUGCCGUUUUUUUGCUUCAGGGUCCUCCGCCGGGUAUCUCGUUAAAAAAUAUGGCCGCCGUUGACAUUCGGCGCCCAUGCAGCGACCAGAUGACGGGCUGGCGGUCGGCGAAUGUCGGACGGCGUUGCAGGGCUUGCGUGGACGGAUCUGCACAUCGCUACCGCGGGCGGCGGCUCGAGCCAUGUGCGUCGAAGGCGGCUUCUGUCAGGGGACAGGCGCGCAGUCGCACCGGCGAGACGGAGUCAGAGCAGGGGAGCUCAACAGAGCGGGCAGCAGCAGACGCUGGGUCGGAGGGGGAGGCGCUAUACGACCUCCCGGCGCGAUGGCGAUCUUCACAGAGCUGCCGGCCGUGGCGGGCGGAGGAGCGGAGAAGAC